UCUCAAAAUCUGUCUCUCUAUUCCAAAUUUCAAAAUUUGAACGCAGACCCUCUCUCUCUCUCUCUCUCUCCAUCCAUUGGAGCCCAUUCCUAUGCUCUUCUUUAAUUCCCUGUCGGAUUGCCAGAGACCCACCCCUUCCCGGAGACCCAACCCCGAACCCCCCAUUAUUCUCUUCGUCUUCUCUCUUCCUCUCUCUCUCUCUCUCCAUCAUCACAUUCUUCAUCAACAGUGGCAGCCCCAAACCCCCUUAAAUAUUGACGACGAUCGAAUGGAGCAACUGCAAAAUGAAGAAUCUAAAGGAAGAAUCUGGUAUAUUUCCAACAAGAGUGCAAACCAAAAGAAUCUGGUAUACUGUUCAAGUGAGCAAAUCAAAAGGAAUGAAGAAUCUUUUUCUAUAUUUCCAGCAAGUUUGUUAAUUUCCAGCAGGUUGACAAUAGGUUUGUUAAUUUCUAGAAGGUUUGUUAAUUUCCAGCAGGUUUGACAACAGGUUUUAUUGCGAGAGACAAUAAAUUUGACGAAAAUGGGUUAGACAGAGAUGAGAAUUGAUGAACCAUUAUGAGAUACAGAGAGAGCUUAGAUAAUUGAAAAAAUGGCGAGGUCAUCAAUGCGUGUUCUAUGUUUGCUUGACUGUAGUAAUUCAUUAUCUAGAUCAAAGUGUUUGGAGAGGUUGCCUAAUUCAUAUUUUUGUUGUUGUUGAAAUUUGCUCCCCGGUUCUACUAGGAAGACUUCUAUACAAGAGUUAUCAUUUUAUUGAUAGGUUUCACUAUGUAAAACCUGAGUAAACUUAUCUCUUACAUUCAUGUUUGGAAUCUUCGCUCAAUGCUAUUUUUCAUGUGUGUUUCAGCCAAUGAUGGGGUCAGAAGUAUGCUUACCAUUGAUAUAUUCAGAGCUAUUAGAGAAAGUACAUGAAUUUUGUGCUGAAAGAAGGGGAUUAAUUACAAAACAAAUUGAAAGAAGAUUAUUUGUUGCUAUGACAAUGUUCAAACCAAACCAAACCAAAUUAAACCAAGCCUUUAGUCCCAUUGCUAUGACAAUGUCAUUGCAAAAAAGUGUGAAACAUACAAUUAUCACUCUUAAACAUGGGUUUGUUGAGUUUUUUUGGUAUUGUUCAAAUUGAAACCGUAAAAUCAUCUGAUUCAAUAAUAUUAUAUUAAGCUAUUCAUGCA